rnacentral:rRNA from 1 species
AACGAACGCUGGCGGCAGGCCUAACACAUGCAAGUCGAACGCUCGUAGCAAUACGGGAGUGGCAGACGGGUGCGUAACGCGUGGGAACAUACCCUUUGGUUCGGAAUAACUCAGGGAAACUUGAGCUAAUACCGGAUACGCCCGAGAGGGGAAAGAUUUAUUGCCGAAGGAUUGGCCCGCGUCUGAUUAGCUGGUUGGUAGGGUAACGGCCUACCAAGGCGACGAUCAGUAGCUGGUCUGAGAGGAUGAUCAGCCACACUGGGACUGAGACACGGCCCAGACUCCUACGGGAGGCAGCAGUGGGGAAUAUUGGACAAUGGGCGCAAGCCUGAUCCAGCCAUGCCGCGUGAGUGAUGACGGCCUUAGGGUUGUAAAGCUCUUUUACCCGGGAAGAUAAUGACGGUACCGGGAGAAUAAGCCCCGGCUAACUUCGUGCCAGCAGCCGCGGUAAGGCUACGUAGA